AGAGUUUGAUCCUGGCUCAGAAUCACGCUGGCGGCGAGCCAAAAACAUGCAUGUCGAACGCGGUUACCUCGCAAGGCCUAUCUGAGUGGCAAACGGGUGAGUAACACGUGGGUGACCUACCUUCGAGUGGGGGAUAACGUCCCGAAAGGGACGCUAAUACCGCAUAACAUCCUGUUCUUGAACGGAUGGAGAUCAAAGCCGGGGAUCGCAAGACCUGGCGCUUGAUGAGGGGCCCGCGUCUGAUUAGCUAGUUGGUGAGGUAAUGGCCCACCAAGGCGACGAUCAGUAUCCGGCCUGAGAGGGCGGACGGACACACUGGGACUGAGACACGGCCCAGACUCCUACGGGAGGCAGCAGUGGGGAAUUGUUCACAAUGGGCGCAAGCCUGAUGACGCAACGCCGCGUGGAGGAUGAAGGUCUUCGGAUUGUAAACUCCUGUUGCUCGGGACGAAAAGCCUCGACCUAACACGUCGAGGUCUGACGGUACCGAGUGAGGAAGCCCCGGCUAACUCUGUGCCAGCAGCCGCGGUAAUACAGAGGGGGCAAGCGUUGUUCGGAAUUACUGGGCGUAAAGGGCGCGUAUGCGGGCCCGCUAAGUCGAACGUGAAAU
rnacentral:rRNA from 1 species